AAACUUAGGUUAAUUAGACCAAGGGCCUUCAAAGCCCUAAAUAGAAGGGAAGCCCCUCUAGUUUC
rnacentral:tRNA from 1 species